CUCUUUUCUUCCUCCUUCUAUCAUCCUCCUCCUCUCUCCCUCUCAUCCUUCUCCCUCGUCCCCAAAAACUUGCCCUUUAAAUCAGUGGUUCUCCGCGCGGCAGCGGCAGCGGCUCAAUCGACUUCUCCGAUAUUUUUUCCGUCAAGGAAGAUUAUCAUAAAAGGGUGGAAGAAUGGCAACAAACUCAACCUCUUUCAACUCAACCAACACAUGAUGAUAUGGCUUCAUUGUGGACAGAGGCAGCGGGUGGAGUAAACAAAGGCAGAGUUUACGGACUUGGAGUACGUCGACCUACAGGUCAUCUAAACCCACUCUUAGCCAAUUCUUCUUCUUCUCAAAAUCAAGAAUAGAUGGAACAUAUGAGAAAAGAAAUUCGUGAUUUGAAGCAACACUUGGACUCCCAAACCCACUCUUAGCCAUUUUCCAGUAGUGACACCCUCGUUGACAACACUUUUUACAAGCUGUCAAGAGGAGGCAUUCGGACAUUAUUUGGAUUUGUAGUGGAAAAAAGCAUUUGAAAGUGAAGUUGUGUAAUUUGGACAUAAAUUUCACUCGGAAAAAAGUUAAAUUUUGUGAGUGAAACUAUUAGAUCUUGUGAAGUUGCAUGCUUUCGUAUCUUAAUGCAUUGCGCCAAUAGUCAUAAGUUGCUGUUCUUUUAGUCACAAACUGCUGUAAUUUUAGAGGCAUAGUUACAUGCUUUUGCACCUCUAAUUUAUGCAUUUAUAAUUUCACUUC